rnacentral:rRNA from 1 species
GACGAACGCUGGCGGCGUGCUUGACACAUGCCAGUCGAACGGAAAGGCCCUGCUUUUGUGGGGUGCUCGAGUGGCGAACGGGUGAGUAACACGUGAGUAACCUGCCCUUGACUUUGGGAUAACUUCAGGAAACUGGGGCUAAUACCGGAUAGGAGCUCCUGCUGCAUGGUGGGGGUUGGAAAGUUUCGGCGGUUGGGGAUGGACUCGCGGCUUAUCAGCUUGUUGGUGGGGUAGUGGCUUACCAAGGCUUUGACGGGUAGCCGGCCUGAGAGGGUGACCGGCCACAUUGGGACUGAGAUACGGCCCAGACUCCUACGGGAGGCAGCAGUGGGGAAUAUUGCACAAUGGGCGGAAGCCUGAUGCAGCAACGCCGCGUGCGGGAUGACGGCCUUCAGGUUGUAAACCGCUUUCGCCUGUGACGAAGCGUGAGUGACGGUAAUGGGUAAAGAAGCACCGGCUAACUACGUG